UGGUGUCACCCACUGCCUUUGUGCUUUACCAGCUCUACUGUAGCCCAGACCAGGCCCCACAUUGCUCUCCAUCAGUUCCCCUGUAAGGAGCUCCCUCUCUGCACUGCUCAGAUCCCAGGGACCCUCAGAGAUCCACAGCCGCCAGUGCGUUGGCUCUCUGUGCUCAUGUGCCAACAUUGUGGAACUGUAUGAACAACUGCCCAUUAAAAUGUGGAUGGUUCUCUCCAAUCUACAGAUGAGAAAACUGAGGCUCAGAGGAGUACAGUCAUCUCCUAAAGACUCUUGGGGGUCUUCCAGCUUAUACUUCAACUCAUAAUGCAAGCCUAAUACAAGUAGAUGGUGUUCCAGUCCUGCUGAGAAAGCACUGUAGGAAGAGUAACUCUGACCAGAUAAAUGAGGGGAGCUCUGGAAGAGACCACUUCUGGUGUUGAACCUAAGAUCUAAGGGGAAGGAAGAUAGCAGAUGGACUACAUCACACUGGUUUUGCAGGAGAUUAGCUAGCAUGUCUAAUCGAGCAGCAUGUCAUGUCCCGUGGCUCCAGGCCUGCCAUUCUGUAGCAUACCAGAGUCAACCACAAGCCUGUGCUGCCAGCCUCGCCCAUGUCAAGGGUGGAGAUGGGGCUAUCACUCUCACCGUGUUUAUGCAGCCUUCUAUGCCUACCUGCACCCCAGAACUGGAAGCUUUGGAGGGCAGAACCCAUUUGAUUUGGACACUGUCUGUUGCACACUCAGUACCUAACAUAGCUGUGGCACACUGUAAGCAUUGCAGGAUGAAGGAAUAAAUA